rnacentral:rRNA from 1 species
CUACGGGUUGCUGCAGUGGGGAAUAUUGCACAAUGGAGGAAACUCUGAUGCAGCAACGCCGCGUGGAGGAUGACACUUUUCGGAGCGUAAACUCCUUUUAUAUAGGAAGAAGAUGACGGUACUAUAUGAAUAAGCGCCGGCUAACUCCGUGCCAGCAGCCGCGGUAAUACGGAGGGCGCAAGCGUUACUCGGAAUCACUGGGCGUAAAGAGCGUGUAGGCGGAUUAAAAAGUCAGAAGUGAAAUCCUAUAGCUUAACUAUAGAACUGCUUCUGAAACUCUUAAUCUAGAAUAUGGGAGAGGUAGAUGGAAUUUCUGGUGUAGGGGUAAAAUCCGUAGAGAUCAGAAGGAAUACCGAUUGCGAAGGCGAUCUACUAGAACAUUAUUGACGCUGAGACGCGAAAGCGUGGGGAGCAAACAGGAUUAGAUACCCUAGUAGUC